rnacentral:rRNA from 1 species
UACAGAGGGUGCGAGCGUUAAUCGGAAUUACUGGGCGUAAAGCGUGCGUAGACGGCUAUCUAAGUCGGGUGUGAAAGACCCUGGCUCAACUGGGGGGUGUCGUGCGAUACGGUCGGACUGGAGGCCAGUAGGGGGAUGCGGAAUUCCGGGUGUAGUGGUGGAAUGCGUAGAGAUCCGGAGGAACACCAGCGGCGAAGGCGGCAUCCUGGACUGGUCCUGACACUCAGGAGCGAAAGCGUGGGGAGCGAUCCGG